UACGUAGGGGGCGAGCGUUGUCCGGAGUUACUGGGCGUAAAGCGCGCGUAGGCGGUUUCUUAAGUCUGAGGUGAAAGGUUCAACGCUUAACGUGAACAGUGCCUUGGAUACUGGGAGACUUGAGUGUGGCAGAGGAUAGUGGAAUUCCUGGUGUAGCGGUGAAAUGCGUAGAUAUCAGGAGGAACACCCAUGGCGAAGGCAGCUAUCUGGGCUAACACUGACGCUGAGGUGCGAAAGCGUGGGGAGCGAACGGG
rnacentral:rRNA from 1 species